GGGGUUGUGGCUCAGUGGUAGAGUGCUUGCCUAGCAUGUGUAAGACCCUGGGUUCAAGUCUCAGCACCA
rnacentral:tRNA from 1 species